UCUCUUAUCGACGUCAGUGAUUGCACUUGAGAGGCCGAUAACUCGCCCAUCAGUCCGCGGACGACCGCCAAUGAUGAAAGACUCAAUCACGGUAAUGCUGCUCCUUGCAGCUGGCCUCAGCUGCACUUCUGGUCACAUUGGGUUCGGCGAGGGUGGACAGGAAUGGGGCUACGUGGACGUGCGCGAGGGUGCGCACAUGUUCUACUGGCUGUACUACGUCAACGGAGGGAAUGAGCCUGCAGGAAAGCCUCUCGUUAUCUGGCUGCAGGGUGGGCCUGGGGCGUCAUCCACCUCGUUUGGCAACUUCGAGGAGCUGGGCCCGCUCGACACGGACCUCAAGAAGCGCGAGAAGUCCUGGGUGAACCACGUGAAUAUCAUGUUUGUUGACAAUCCUGUGGGUACCGGGUUCAGUCGCGUGGACCACUCCCGAUACUUAGCUCAAAACAACCAACAGAUAUCUGCUGAUCUCGUGAAACUGUAUAUCGGUUUCCUUGAGCAAAACCCCAAGUUCAGAGGAGUUCCGUUGUACAUAUUUUGCGAAUCGUACGGCGGGAAGAUGACAGCUGAGUUUGCGUAUGAGUUAUACAAGGAGAAGGAGAGAUCUAACAACAAAGACAUAAAUAUAAAAGGUAUCGCUGUUGGGGAUGGAUGGAUAUCGGGGCUUGACUCUACCAUCACUUGGGCCCCAUUUUUGAAACAAUAUGGACUGCUGAACAACAAUGGUUACAAGUCUGUGGACGCUGUGGCUCAGCGAUGCCGACGUGCCGUUGAGGCGGGGCAGUGGAAUAAAGCGACGGACGAGUGGCGCAACGCGGAGACGGCAGUCAUGUGGGCGGUGCCGGGCUUCACGGGUGACAACUUCUACAACAUUUAUGGCGGUCAACUGCACCCGAACAGAACUGGUGGCCAGUUCACUACUCUUAAGGCGACUGCUAAGACGCAAGGAAUGCAGUCAAAAUUGCAAGGAGUGCCGCUGUCACAACAAGCGUAUGCUUUGCACGCCAGUUCCAGGAGCGUCUCUAGCAUCAUGAAAAUCGUUCGCAAAGCGCUCGGCCUUCCCUGGUACGUACGGCACGAGGCUCAGAGCAACGCUGUCUUCAAGGCACUUGAAGGGGACUUUAUGAAACCAGUCGUGGACAUCGUGGAGAAGCUUCUUUCUGAGACUACCAUCGAAGUGACUGUUUUCAAUGGCGAGUGGGAUCUGAUCGUCGACGUCAUUGGUACCCUCGAUUGGAUAAAUCGCCUGCAGUGGGCAGGAGCAGACUCUUGGAAGGCAGCUCCCCGUAAGCCGCUCCUCGUCAAUGGGGUGGACAAUGGAUACUCCCAAAGUUGGGGUAACUUUACAUUUUACUCCAUCAGCCAAGCGGGGCACAUGUCUGAACUUCUUCGGUCUUCGGGGUAUCCCUCCGAAGUUCACCAUGUCACGACCAAGGAUGGCUAUGUUCUCGAGCUGGACAGAAUACCUCGGCCUGGACGUCCAGUCGUAUACCUUGCCAACCAGAUCUACGGUUCAGCUGUCGCCUACCUGGUCCUCGGCAAAGGAAGAGCGUUAGGUUUUCUUCUUUACGAUGCUGGUUUCGAUGUCUGGAUGGGGAAUUUCCGAGGAACUCCGGUCUCUUGUCGUCACAUCCACCUGAACAGCACGGAUGACAGAUUCUGGAAAUUUGGCUGGCAGGAAAAUGGCGAGUUGGACAAUCCCGCCCUGAUCGACUACGUGCUAAAGCAGUCGGGUCAGCAGCAGCUUGUGUUUGCUGGCCACUCCAUGGGGGGCACCACAUUCUUUGUCACGGCGGCUGCACGACCAGACCUCCUCCCGAAGAUUAGCGCUGCCUUCCUCUUCGCGCCUGCAGUGUUCAUGACCCACACCAAGGAUGCCCAUCUCCUCGCACUGCAGUCAAUCGCCAACGAGACACUGAAAGCUGCAGACGAUUUUAAGCUUCAUAAUAAGCCUACUCAGCUCCUUCAGAAACUUGCUGAUAAAAUGUGUGAGGGAAGAGUACUUCAAAAAGCACCCAACUUCCAGAAGAUGUGCUUGGCAGUUGGGCCCGGCACUCUACAUAAUUUUCGCUAUGAUUCCAACUUUUUCUUCCCAAAUGGCGCGUCGUUGUGGCAAAUUCUUCAUUUUGCGCAGCUAUGUGACCCUAAAUGGCCUGGAUUUCGGAAGUUUAACUACGGAUCCGCGGAAGAGAACAGAGUCCGUUAUGGGACUAGUGCGCCACCAGACUUCAAUAUAAAACUCGUGAAGAAUCCUGUGUUUUUGUACAAUGGUUACGGCGAUACUACAAGCACGCUCAAGGAUCAGCUGCUGCUCCAGGCAACACUGCCGAACGUGAAACGGUUCUAUUAUUCAGAGAAUACGAACUUUGGUCAUAAUGACUUCGUUCAUUGUCCAACUGCUGCCACGGAUGUGUGGAACACUGUCAUACAUGAUAUCAAGAAACAUUUUUCAAAAUAGCAAGCUAUCUGCAUCAUUGAUGUUAAAAGGAUUUCACAAUAAAUCUGAUACCGUACUGGAUCAGUGCAGCAUACACCGUCAUGAUAUUAACACCAGCGAUCCUCGUGUUUUUGGUCCGUUUCACGCCGAUUGCAGAUGCUAGGAACCUUCUGGCCCCUUCGCGCCUUGUGGCGGAAAUUCCGAACAUGCGUGGCUGUCCCGGAGUCCUAAACAACGCGGUAACGUUUUUUGGACCUGCAUCGAGUUCCUUACGCGGCCGAGGAAACUACACCUUCAGUGCUACCUUCAACGUUAGCCGUCCCGCAAAGCGGAUCUCUGAGAUUAGGGUAGAGAUGACCCGCUGCCGGGACGUCGUUUCCAGCAAUACUUGUGAGAAAUACGGGAACUGGCGUCUUCAGACUGAACCUUGCAAGGUUUGGAUGGACCCCGUGGCACCGUGGGGUGGACUCAUCAAGGGAAUAGAAGAAGAUUAUAGAUGCCCAACAAAAUCGGGUACAUAUCACAUAAGGAAUGCUGUACUUGACAUGAAAAGUUUACAGGCCCUGAACCUUCCGCUAGAAGGUGCUGUAUGGCAGACAAAGGCGUUCUUCUUGGAACCCUCCGGUGAUUUGCAUUACUGCUUCGAGGGAACAUUUAUUUUCAGAAGGGUGCGCGCGUAAGGUCUAGCUAGAUGUGUGGCAACAAUCUAGCAUCGCCAAAAUUAGCAAAAUUAGCAGCAUCAGGUUUUAUAGGUGAGAAUUUUGUGGACUCGCCAGCACCCGUGUGGAAAGCAAGUCUGUAAAUAUUACGUAUUUUUUGCCGUUUUCCAACAGCAAGUUAACAGUCAACUUAGACCAAAAAUAUCACGAGAUGACAGCUACUGUCUCUUGGAGCCUCCACUGCUGCCGCCUGACUGGAAGGGGACGGCUCCUUCAGUGUGGGAUCGCUGUGGCCUGGUAGAUACCGCAUCAGACCGAGACGCUGAGGUUCGUGAGUUCGACUCCGUACCGCAGCGUCUGGACCGCACAGUUUUUCUCUAGCCCUCUCUUUCGGUGAACAUAAAUUUGACGUAUUCUUAGUGUAAAUCUGCACACCUCCACUACCUUAAAAACUUAAAAACUACAGCAGUUCACCGCCAAAUAGGUUUACCGUAUCUCUGUCGUUAUUUUGACGUAUUUGGACGUUUUUUUGGUCUACGUUCACUGUUAAUUUGCUGUUGGAAAACGGCAAAAACACGUCAUAUUUACAGACUUGCUUUUCACACGGGCAGGUCUGCAACAUCCCUUGCCGUGUGGAACAAAAGCGAGUAAAUGACGGUUAUUUUGCUGUUAAUCGCACGACAAAUUAACACUUAAAUACUAACAAAUCUACAAUGAACGACAAACAUACAACCAGUGUAUACAACAAACGCGCUUUUCAUAAAGUGACGAGUAAUGUUGUCGUUUUCCUGUUGUUAAACGGACCACUUUCACAUUGAAUAUACGACAAAUUUAUUUCAA